rnacentral:misc_RNA from 1 species
CGGGAGCCUCUUUGGUGGAUUGGGAUGGUAACUAUGAUUGUUGGAGAAUUUGCAAAUUUCGUGGCUUACAUUUAUGCGCCAGCAGUUCUUGUGACACCGCUUGGAGCUUUAAGUAUAAUUGUGAGUGCUGUUCUAGCACAUUUCAUACUGAAGGAAAAAUUGAAGAAACUGGGAGUAUUAGGAUGUCUUUUAUGUAUAGUAG